UACAGAGGGGGCAAGCGUUGUUCGGAAUUACUGGGCGUAAAGGGCGCGUAGGCGGCCUGUUAAGUCGAACGUGAAAUCCCUGGGCUCAACCCAGGAACUGCGUCCGAUACUGGCAGGCUUGAAUUCGGGAGAGGGAUGUGGAAUUCCAGGUGUAGCGGUGAAAUGCGUAGAUAUCUGGAGGAACACCGGUGGCGAAGGCGGCAUCCUGGACCGAUAUUGACGCUGAGGCGCGAAAGCCAGGGGAGCAAACGGG
rnacentral:rRNA from 1 species